UGACAGAAUCUGCCUGAAGUUGAUCGGU
rnacentral:piRNA from 1 species